rnacentral:rRNA from 1 species
CCUACGGGAGGCUGCAGUGGGGAAUAUUGGACAAUGGGGGGAACCCUGAUCCAGCGACGCCGCGUGAGUGAAGAAGUAUUUCGGUAUGUAAAGCUCUAUCAGCAGGGAAGAAAGAAAUGACGGUACCUGACUAAGAAGCCUCGGCGAACUACGUGCCAGCACCCGCGGUAAUACGUAGGGGGCAAGCGUUAUCCGGAUUUACUGGGUGUAAAGGGAGCGUAGACGGCGAUGCAAGUCUGAAGUGAAAGGCCGGGGCCCAACCCCCGGACUGCUUUUGAAACUGUAUGGCUGGAGUGGAGGAGAGGUAAGUGGAAUUCGUGGUGUAGCGGUGAAAUGCAUAGAUAUUAGGAGGAACACCGGUGGCGAAGGCAGCUUACUGGACUGUAACUGACGUUGAGGCACGAAAGCGUGGGGAGCAAACAGGAUUAGAUACCCCAGUAGUC